GAUGAACGCUAGCUACAGGCUUAACACAUGCAAGUCGAGGGGCAUCAGGAAGAAAGCUUGCUUUCUUUGCUGGCGACCGGCGCACGGGUGAGUAACACGUAUCCAACCUGCCCUUUACUCGGGGAUAGCCUUUCGAAAGAAAGAUUAAUACCCGAUAGCAUAAUGAUUCCGCAUGGUUUCAUUAUUAAAGGAUUCCGGUAGAGGAUGGGGAUGCGUUCCAUUAGCUAGUUGGUGAGGUAAGGGCUCACCAAGGCGACGAUCCGUAGCUGGUUUGAGAGGACGACCAGCCACACUGGGACUGAGACACGGCCCAG
rnacentral:rRNA from 1 species